rnacentral:lncRNA from 1 species
CGUCAACAAGCGACAAGAAGCGACAACAAGAAUUAUUUUAGCGACAACAAGCGACAAGAAACUAUUUAGCGACAAGAAAACAUUUUUUUUUAAUUAAAAUUAAUUAUUGCAAUAAGUAUUAAAAGAAUAUGCAAAAGAAAAUAAUUUUAGCGACAAGAAAGUUAAAAUUGAUAGAUAAAAAUGAAACAUUAUUUACAUAAUAUUUUAUCAUCUAUUAUGAAUAACAGCCAGUAUUACGUUUAAUUAUUGUAUUAUGAGAUUACUUUUCUUUGUGUUUUAGAGCAUAUUAUUUAUCUUAUAAUUUGUUUUUUAAAACUCUGUUCGUGCAAUAUAUAUUAAGCUCGCAAAAUGAAUUAUUUGUGCAUCAUUGUCCUG